CAGAAAGCAUGCAGACUCCUUAAGGGAAAGCCUCUUUUUAUCCAUUUUUGAAACUUGACAAAGCAAGAGACUUGUCCAGCCCAGCUUCCCCAUUCCUCCUGGCUCCAGAGGCUCAGAGACCUUGGCCACCGCCCCACCUGCCCAGGUCCUGCAGCAUUUCCACUGCUCAGCCAUGCUCCUGCUGCUCCUCCUGGUGCUUGAGGUGAUUUUUGCCCUUGGAGGAACCUGGGCCCAGAGAGUGACCCAGCCCGAUGGCCACAUCACUGUCUCUGAAGGAGACCCUCUGGAGCUGCGGUGCAACUAUUCCUCUUCUGUUUCACCGUAUCUCUUCUGGUAUGUGCAAUACCCCAACCAAGGACUCGAGCUUCUCCUGAAGUACACGUCUGGAAACAGCCUCGUCACAGGCAUCAAAAGUUUUAAGGCUGAGUUUAACAAGGGUGAAACCUCCUUUCACCUGAAGAAAGCCUCAGCCCAUUUGAGCGACUCUGCCCAGUACUUCUGUGCUGUGAGUGACACAGUGCCUGGGGCUGCAGGGGGAGCUGAACACAAACCUGCCGAGACACUGGGACUUCCUGUGACUCAAGAACUUAACCUGGGGAGUUUUCAAGAUCUCUUUUUCCUGUGCCUCCUGUGA